AGAUAAAGGAGCUCUUUAUGCCUGGGGUGGUGGUCAAGCUGGUCAGUUAGGCCUUGGCCCCCAAAAUGGAUCAUUUUCAUUCAUUCCCAGUGAUACUGAAUCAUUUCUUCGAAAUAUCCCUGUGUUGGUGGUCCCAACUGGUGUGCAACUUGUUGCAUGUGGACAUUCUCACACACUUGUUUCUUUGAAGGAUGGAAGAAUACAUGGAUGGGGUUAUAAUAGCUAUGGACAGGCUGCUAAUGAGAAAGCUACAUAUGCUUGGUAUCCAUCACCAGUUGACUGGUGUGUAGGGGAAGUGCGAAAACUAGCAGCUGGUGGUGGCCAUUCGGCAGUUUUGACUGAUGCUUGUUCCUUGAAAGAGUUGUGUGAGUUUAGACUUGCAGAUAAUGUGACACUAUCAAAUGCUUUGGAGAUUGAGGAUGUUGCAUCCAGAACUGGAGCAGAUGCUUUAGCACGCCUUUGUGGAAGAUUGAGGGAGCAUUUUCCCGAUGGUGGUGAUAUAGAUUAUGAAGAUGAUGAAAUCAGCAGCGGG
rnacentral:misc_RNA from 1 species